rnacentral:rRNA from 1 species
UACGUAGGUGGCAAGCGUUGUCCGGAUUUACUGGGCGUAAAGAGCGCGCAGGCGGUCGUUCAAGUCGCGUGUGAAAGCCCCCGGCUCAACUGGGGAGGGUCACGCGAUACUGAUCGACUCGAAGGCAGGAGAGGGAAGUGGAAUUCCCGGUGUAGUGGUGAAAUGCGUAGAUAUCAGGAGGAACACCGAUGGCGAAGGCAGGUCUCUGGGCCGAUACUGACGCUGAGGAGCGAAAGCGUGGGGAGCGAACAGG